UUAAUACGUUACAGUAACACCGGGGAUGAACAACUUUUGUCACGUGACCGCAAAAGUCAACGCCGGUUGCAGAAACAGAUUGUAAUCUUGUACAUUAAGAAACAUGACGCUCGUGUGUGAAAUCUGUGGAAAGACAUUUAAAUCGAAGUGGGGGUUAAAGCUUCAUGAUAAGCGCCACAGAGGGACUGGACGAUUCGCCUGUUGUGGAAAAACAUUUUACACAAAACAGGCGUUCAACAGACACAGAUGCAGCAUUCAUGGUGUUGAAAAGCCGUUCCCCUGUGAACAAUGCGGCAAAAAGUUUUCAACCAAAGAUGACCUGAAUCGUCACGUCCGGAGGGAGGUUGCUGCAAAGCAAUUUACCUGCUCAAUUUGCAAUGCAACGCUCCGGGAGAAAAUUGACCUUCAGGCCCACCUUGCCACCCACACUGGAGAGAAAAACUUUGCUUGUGAUAUGUGUGAAAAGAGGUACAGGCACCGCAGUAGUCUAUCAAAGCACAGAUCUGCAAAGCACCGGGCCUAGUCAUCUGUUGCAUGACGAUGAUAAGACCAAGAAUUAUUUUUAAUUCUUACCAAUGUGCCGUGGUUAUUUUCUUAAUUAUUGAAAAUACAGACUGUCAUACAAUAAUAUAUAGUAUUACGCGUGUUUUUGCGUCUUAAACAUUGUGUUUCAUAUCGUUUAUCUUGUGUUGUUUUGUUUGAUAUUCCUGUUUUUAAUAAGAUUAUUGUUGUAAUAUUUAUCAUUCUAAUUUAAAAUGAUUAUGAUAAUGGUUGAUCUCAUACAAAUUAUUGUGUUCAUUAUUGCUCAUCUGUGAUUACUGUUGAUCUCAGCCCAUGAAUUGUGAUUUAUAUUGAUUAUCUGUGAUUAUUGUUGAUCUUAUCAAAAUAAUUGUAAUUUAUGUUGAUUAUCUGUGAAUUUUUUAUCUUAACCUAUUAAUAGUGAUUUAUAUUAUCUGUGAUUAUUGUUGAUCUUAUCAAAAUCAUUGUGAUUUAUGUUGAUUAUCUGUGAUUAUUGUUGAUCUCAACCGAUUAAUUGUGAUUUAUAUAACCAGUGAUUAUUGUUGAUCUUUUCAAAAUCAUUGUAAUUUAUGUUGAUUAUCUGUGAUUAUUGUUGAUCUUUUCGAAAUCAUUGUAAUUUAUGUUGAUUAUCUGUGAUUAUUGUUGAUCUUUUCAAAAUCAUUGUAAUCUAUGUUGAUUAUCUGUGAUUAUUGUUGAUCUCACCAUAUCCGCUGGAAUGUACAUUUGAGCCGCGCUCUGUGAAAAGGGGGUUUAAUGCAUGUGCGUAAAGUGCAGUCCACAUAGGCUAAUCAGGGACGGCACUUUCCGCUUUUAUGAUAUGUUUUGUUAAAAGAAAGUCUCUUCUGAGCAAAAAUCGAGUUUAUCGGAAAGGUUUGUCCCUAAUUAGCCUGUACGGAAUGCACAGGCUAAUAUGUGACGACACCUUACGCACAUGCAUUAAACCCCCUUUUCACAGAGCGAGACUCAUUUGUAAUCUGCGAUUUUUGUUUAUCUAUUUCGAAUCAAUAUGAUUAAAAUAUAUUUUUGGUGA